UUAGCGGCGGACGGGUGAGUAACACGUAGGUAACCUACCUAUAAGACUGGGAUAACUUCGGGAAACCGGAGCUAAUACCGGAUAAUAUUUCGAACCGCAUGGUUCGAUAGUGAAAGAUGGCUUUGCUAUCACUUAUAGAUGGACCUGCGCCGUAUUAGCUAGUUGGUAAGGUAACGGCUUACCAAGGCAACGAUACGUAGCCGACCUGAGAGGGUGAUCGGCCACACUGGAACUGAGACACGGUCCAGACUCCUACG
rnacentral:rRNA from 1 species